ACGAAUCAAAAAACUAUUAAUUGAUUUAUUUAGUUUGUAAAUAUUAAAAUAAAAGAAAAAAUUCUCAAAUCAACACAGAACACACAAUAUCUAGUAUAUAUAUCAUAGCUAGAAUUAGCUAACUGAUGGAGUUAUGGACCCUAUAAUCAUAAUCGAUCAUCAUUCAUCACCAUGAUGUUUAAGCAGCUGGGGCAAAAUCAUAAUCUCCACCACCAUCAUCGUCGUCAUCUCCAUCGUCGCCUUCAUUACCACACGAUUGGGCAGCAAAAACAGUGCCGGCGUAAUGAUUGCGGCACCGAGCUUGGUUGUAACAAUCUCCAUCCGCAUGCUGCAACAUCAUAACCAACAUGACAAUGUUCAACAGAGCACACAUAUUGAAGAAGAAGAAGAAGAAGAAACUGCGCUAAGAAUGGGUGAAUAUACUGUGUUUUCUUUGCUUUGAGGUUGUUGUAUGAUUGCGGGU
rnacentral:lncRNA from 1 species